UCCUUUUUCUGUUCAUAAAUCUUAUUCCACCAUGUGCUGCACUGGAGUCUCUGAGCCUACUCUGGCUUAGGAGGCUGCUUGAUUUGUGAAUUGUUCUUUGCUCAAUUAAACUGUGUUACAUUUAAUUCAGCCAAGAUUUUUUUAACAGAUAGUGUGAGAUGUGGGAUCUAAAGCAGAGUUUCUAGCAACCUCCAAGAUCACCGAGUGACAAGCAAGGUACCUGCUGGGCCCAUUGUGUCCAUUGCUCUUUUACAGCAACUGGGGAUCGUGGGAAACUGGAGGAAAAUGAUGCUAAAACAUUGCCCCGCAGAACACUGAAAAAAAGAGUAAAGGAAUGGGAAUGAAGAUUGCUUUCUUCUCUAGGUCUUACAACCCAUUCACCCUAGAGCCCAAAUUAGACUUUCUUAAAGAAUAGAAAUUCUUAAAAUUACUAUAUCAUGCUUCUGAAUGACUUUGGGGUAAACAUCUCAAUUGGUUCUGCUUACACAAUUCUGACUGAAAAAAAUUAAACUUCAGGUCUUCAAAAAGUCCAUGGAAAAUACAUAUUAUUAAAAAUGCAUGGAUUUCAAAUGUUUUGCAUAAAAAUAAACUCAUACUUACUUGUUAUAACAUGUCUAAACAGGAUCUAGUCUAAGGUAUGAAGAAGGAUAAGACACCAGUUUGAAAAGAGCCCCAAUUACAGCAACAUGAAUUCUAUUAUAAUUGAAGCAAGAACAAAUAUCAAAUUAUGGUGAAGAAUGGAAAUUAUGGUGGAAGAAUGGUAAAAUUAGUGAUGUUUUAUGAAAAGUUUAUGAGGAAAAUGCCCUCCCUCCAAAUCAGCAGUUUACAAAUUGGUAACUUUUUUAAAGAAGGGAUGAGAUAAUAUUAAAGAUGAAGCCUGCAGCAGCAGAACAUCCACAUCUAUUGUGAGGAAAAAAUUCAUCUUUUUCAUGCUCUAAUUGAAGAGGACUAAUGAUUAACAGCAGAAACAACAGCCAACACCGUUAACCAACUGGAUCUAAUAGACAUCUACAGAGGGCUCCAUGAAACAAUCACAGAAUAUACAUUCUUCUCAUCCACACAUAGAACAUACUCUAAGAUCAAUCAUGUGCUCUGCCAUAAAGCAAAUCUCAAUAAAUUUUUAAAAAAGGAAAUCACACUAAGCACACUCUCAAACCAUAGUGCAAUGAAAAUAGAAAUCAAAACCAAGAAGGUCUCUCAAAACCACAAAAUUACAUGGAAAUUAAGUUGCUUCUGAAUGACUUUGGGGUAAACAUCUCAAUUGGUUCAGCUCAUGCAAUUCUGACAGAAAAAAUUAAACUUCAGCAAACUUGCCACUCAAUGGACGCCAAAACUGUUGUGCCCAGAUCAGCUGCAAAGAAGAUCAGAGCUUUCAUUAGAAAUUUUAAACAAGUGGGAUCAAGAUCUUCAAGCAUUUAUUCAAAGAACUGUAACAGGAGAUGAAACAUGGCUUUACCAGUACAAUUCUGAAGACAAAGCACAAUUAAAGCACUGGCACCGAAGAGGUGGAAGUGGUCCAGUCAGAGCAAAAGCAGACUGUUCAAGAGCAGAGGUCAUGGCACCAGUUUUCCAGGAUGCUUAAGGCAUUUUCCUUGUUGACUUUCUGGAGAGCCAAAGAAUGAUAACAUCUGCCUAAUAGGAGAGGGUUUUGAGAAAGUUAGCAAAAGCUUCAGCAGAAAAAUGCGCAGGAAAGCUUCACCACAGAGUCCUUCUCCACCAUAACAAGCUCCUGGUCAUUCCGCACAUCAAACACAGGCAAUUUUGCAAGCGUUUCAAUUGAAAAUCAUUAGGCAUCCACCUUACAGUCCUAAUGUGGCUCCUUCUGACUUCUUUUUGUUUCCUAGGAUUAAAAAAUCUGUGAAGAUGACCCAGUUUUCUUCAGUGAGUAGUGUAAAAAAGACUGCAUUAACAUGGUUAAAUUCCCAGGACCCUCAGUUCCUUAGGAUGGACUUAAUGGCUGGUAACAUUGCUUAAAAAGGUGUCUUGAAUUUGAUGGAGCUUAUAUUGAUAAAUAAAGUUUAUAUUUAUUUGUAUCUUUUAA